rnacentral:rRNA from 1 species
UACGUAGGGGGCUAGCGUUGUCCGGAAUCAUUGGGCGUAAAGCGCGUGUAGGCGGCUCGGUAAGUCCGCUGUGAAAGUCGGGGGCUCAACCCUCGGAUGCCGGUGGAUACUGUCGGGCUAGAGUACGGAAGAGGCGAGUGGAAUUCCUGGUGUAGCGGUGAAAUGCGCAGAUAUCAGGAGGAACACCAAUUGCGAAGGCAGCUCGCUGGGACGUUACUGACGCUGAGGCGCGAAAGCGUGGGGAGCGAACAGG